GUGCCUGCUGGUAAUGCCCUUCGUGGCCGACCUCGGAAUUACCACGCUGCGGUGUGCCCUGCAGGUUAACACUUGGGUCUCCCAAGGUUUUACAGCAGCUACUGUUAUCCUGACAGAGGUGGAAAUUUAGCCUUCUUCAUAGCGGUGGCGGUGUUGUCUCUUCGGACCAAUGAAGUCUCGUGUCUUAAGCUGUCUUGACUCAGAGGCGCCAGGUGAAGCUAUACGGACGAAUGUGGCUCGGGUGGUGGCCGUCACUCUUUACUCUACUGCCAUCAAUAUGAUAAGGCACUCAAGUCCUACCUACAAUGCAGGACCAACCUGCAGGCCGCUCUCCGCACUCCCGCACGACACCUGUACUCUUCUCCUCCAUGUCCUCGCAGAAGAGGAAAAUGUCGCACAAGGAUCGUAGCUAAAAAUAUUGUGUUUUUUUUAUUACAUGACUAAAUUACUGAUUUUGUUACACAGGAGUUUUUCUGCAAAUAUCUUAUUGCUCUUGAACAGUUCUUUCAUUAUGUAAAGAAUAAACUUGAAAAUCUAA